GUCUCCUUGAAUUACAAAAUAUUAUAGGGAGUCGGACCUGCCCGGUGACAGAGUGUUAAACGGCCGCGGUACCCUAACCGUGCAAAGGUAGCAUAAUCAUUUGCCUUUUAAUUGGAGGCUGGUAUGAAUGGUUUGACGAGAGCUGUGCUGUCUCUUUAAAAAUAGCUGUAAAUUAACUUUUAGGUGAAGAGGCCUAAAUUUGCUUAAGGGACAAGAAGACCCUGUUGAGCUUUAGUAAAAUUAUUGAACAUGUUAAAAUUUUUAGUUGUGCGUUAGAGCAUAAAUUUAGUUCAUAAAAAUAUCUUUAGUUGGGGCGACUAAGGAACAUAAAAAGCUUCCUUUAGUUUAUUUAGUUAAUUGCUUGGUUAAGUGAUAAAUUAAUAAAAAUGUUGGCAGAUUUAUUGAUCCAAGUUUUGUUGAUUAAAGGAAAAAGUUACCACAGGGAUAACAGCGUAAUCUUUUUGGAGAGAUCUUAUCGAAAAAAGGGUUUGCGACCUCGAUGUUGGACUAAGAUAUCCUAAGGGUGUAGAAGCUCUUGAUGGUUGGUCUGUUCGACCAUUAAAAUCUU
rnacentral:rRNA from 1 species